rnacentral:tRNA from 1 species
ACUCUCUUAGUAUAACAACAUAGUACAACUGACUUCCAAUCAGCUAGCCCCAGUGAACAAUCAACCUGGGAGAGAGUA